rnacentral:rRNA from 1 species
AACUUUUAACGGUGGAUCUCUUGGCUCGUGCAUCGAUAAAGAACGCAGCCAGCUGCGAUACGUAGUGUGAAUUGCAGAAUUCAGUGAAUCAUCGAAUCUUUGAACGCAAAUGGCGCUCUUGAUUAUACCGGGAGCAUGUCUGUCUGAGUGUUG